rnacentral:rRNA from 1 species
CGCUGGCGGCGUGCCUAAUACAUGCAAGUCGAACGGUCUUUCUAUGGAAGCUUGCUUCCGCUGAGAAGAUAGUGGCGAACGGGUGAGUAACACGUGGGGUAACCUGCCCAUAAGAGGGGGAUAACAUCCGGAGACGGGUGCUAAUACCGCAUAGUUUUCUUGAUCGCAUGAUCGGGAAAGGAAAGACGGCCUUUGUGCUGUCGCUUAUGGAUGGACCCGCGGCGUAUUAGUUAGUUGGUGAGGUAACGGCUCACCAAGACGAUGAUACGUAGCCGACCUGAGAGGGUGAUCGGCCACAUUGGGACUGAGACACGGCCCAAACUCCUACGGGAGGCAGCAGUAGGGAAUCUUCCGCAAUGGACGAAAGUCUGACGGAGCAACGCCGCGUGAGUGAAGAAAAGGUUUUCGGAUCGUAAAACUCUGUUGUCAGAGAAGAACAAGUUGGAGAGUAACUGCUCCAGCCUUGACGGUAUCUGACCAGAAAGCCACGGCUAACUACGUGCCAGCCGCCGC